AUAAUAUGCUGUGUAUGCAGGUGGUGAACCAGAAGCUGGAGCACUGCUCUCAGCUGACCGACCUGAUGAGGAGUCACCUGAGUGAGAAACACAGUCUGAGGCUGGAGUGGAUGAUCAUCAUCCUCAUCACCAUCGAGGUAUUGUUUGAAGUUUCAAAAAUGAUCUUCUGAGCUGCUCCGGAUCUGAGGAGAGUCACCUGAGGAGAGUCACCUGAAUCACCUGAGGAGAGUCACCUGAAUCACCUGAGGAGAAUCACCUGAGGAGAUUCACCUGAGGAGAGUCACCUUAAUCACCUGAGGAGAAUCACCUGAGGAGAGUCACCUGAGGAGAGUCACCUGAGGAGAGUCACCUGAGGAGAGUCACCUGAGGAGAGUCACCUGAGGAGAGUCACCUGAGGAGAGUCACCUGAGGAGAAUCACCUGAGGAGAGUCACCUGAGGAGAGUCACCUGAAUCACCUGAGGAGAAUCACCUGAAUCACCUGAGGAGAGUCACCUGAGGAGAGUCACCUGAGGAGAGUCACCUGAGGAGAGUCACCUGAGGAGAGUCACCUGAGGAGAGUCACCUGAGGAGAGUCACCUGAAUCACCUGAGGAGAGUCACCUGAGGAGAGUCACCUGAAUCACCUGAGGAGAAUCACCUGAAUCACCUGAGGAGAGUCACCUGAAUCACCUGAGGAGAGUCACCUGAAUCACCUGAGGAGAGUCACCUGAAUCACCUGAGGAGAGUCACCUGAGGAGAGUCACCUUAAUCACCUGAGGAGAGUCACCUGAGGAGAGUCACCUUAAUCACCUGAGGAGAAUCACCUGAGGAGAAUCACCUGAGGAGAAUCACCUGAGGAGAAUCACCUGAGGAGAGUCACCUGAGGAGAGUCACCUGAAUCACCUGAGGAGAGUCACCUGAGGAGAGUCACCUUAAUCACCUGAGGAGAAUCACCCGAGGAGAGUCACCUGAAUCACCUGAGGAGAGUCACCUGAGGAGAGUCACCUGAGGAGAGUCACCUGAGGAGAAUCACCUGAGGAGAGUCACCUGAAUCACCUGAGGAGAGUCACCUGAGGAGAAUCACCUGAGGAGAGUCACCUGAAUCACCUGAGGAGAGUCACCUGAGGAGAGUCACCUGAAUCACCUGAGGAGAGUCACCUGAGGAGAGUCACCUUAAUCACCUGAGGAGAAUCACCUGAGGAGAGUCACCUGAAUCACCUGAGGAGAGUCACCUGAGGAGAGUCACCUGAGGAGAAUCACCUGAGGAGAGUCACCUGAAUCACCUGAGGAGAGUCACCUGAGGAGAAUCACCUGAGGAGAGUCACCUGAAUCACCUGAGGAGAGUCACCUGAGGAGAGUCACCUGAGUCACCUGAGGAGAGUCAUCUGAGGAGAGUCACCUGAGGAGAAUCACCUGAGGAGAAUCACCUGAGGAGAGUCACCUGAGGAGAGUCACCUGAGGAGAGUCACCUGAGGAGAGUCACCUGAGGAGAGUCACCUUAAUCACCUGAGGAGAAUCACCUGAGGAGAGUCACCUGAAUCACCUGAGGAGAGUCACCUGAGGAGAGUCACCUGAGGAGAGUCACCUGAGGAGAGUCACCUGAGGAGAGUCACCUGAGGAGAAUCACCUGAGGAGAGUCACCUGAAUCACCUGAGGAGAGUCACCUGAGGAGAGUCACCUGAGGAGAGUCACCUGAGGAGAGUCACCUGAAUCACCUGAGGAGAGUCACCUGAGGAGAGUCACCUGAAUCACCUGAGGAGAGUCACCUGAGGAGGUAUUUCUUCUCAGUGACCCUAAAGAUGAUUUCUGGAUUAAUUUUUCCUGGAAGGAAUGAAAUCGAGAAGUGGACGUGAACAUUUUUAAUGUCUUACUGUUCCUGCUGCUUAGUAUAAACACUUCAACACACACACACACACACACACACACACACACACACACACACACACACACACACACACACACACACACACACACCUUUCCUCUUGAAGAGCAUUGCUGGAGACAAGGUGCUUCAUGGAAACUCACGAAUCUCUUCACCUGAGGAGAGUCACCUUAAUCACCUGAGGAGAGUCACCUGAGGAGAGUCACCUUAAUCACCUGAGGAGAAUCACCUGAGGAGAAUCACCUGAGGAGAAUCACCUGAGGAGAGUCACCUGAGGAGAGUCACCUGAGGAGAGUCACCUGAAUCACCUGAGGAGAGUCACCUGAGGAGAGUCACCUUAAUCACCUGAGGAGAAUCACCUGAGGAGAGUCACCUGAAUCACCUGAGGAGAGUCACCUGAGGAGAAUCACCUGAGGAGAGUCACCUGAGGAGAAUCACCUGAGGAGAGUCACCUGAAUCACCUGAGGAGAGUCACCUGAGGAGAGUCACCUGAGGAGUCACCUGAGGAGAAUCACCUGAGGAGAGUCACCUGAAUCACCUGAGGAGAGUCACCUGAGGAGAAUCACCUGAGGAGAAUCACCUUAAUCACCUGAGGAGAGUCACCUGAGGAGUGUCACCUGAGGAGUGUCACCUGAGGAGAAUCACCUGAGGAGAAUCACCUGAGGAGAGUCACCUUAGGAGAAUCACCUUAAUCACCUGAGGAGAAUCACCUGAGGAGAGUCACCUGAAUCACCUGAGGAGAGUCACCUGAAUCACCUGAGGAGAGUCACCUGAGGAGAGUCACCUGAGGAGAGUCACCUGAGGAGAGUCACCUGAGGAGAGUCACCUGAGGAGAGUCACCUGAAUCACGUCACCUGAGGAGAGUCACCUGAGGAGUCACCUGAGGAGAGUCACCUGAGGAGAAUCACCUGAGGAGAGUCACCUGAAUCACCUGAGGAGAGUCACCUGAGGAGAGUCACCUGAGGAGAGUCACCUGAAUCACCUGAAUCACCUGAGGAGAGUCACCUGAGGAGAGUCACCUGAGGAGAGUCACCUGAAUCACCUGAGGAGAAUCACCUUAAUCACCUGAGGAGAGUCACCUGAGGAGAGUCACCUGAGGAGAGUCACCUGAGGAGAGUCACCUGAGGAGUGUCACCUGAGGAGAGUCACCUGAGGAGAGUCACCUGAGGAGAGUCACCUGAGGAGUGUCACCUGAGGAGAGUCACCUGAGGAGAGUCACCUGAGGAGAGUCACCUGAGGAGAGUCACCUGAGGAGAGUCACCUGAGGAGAGUCACCUGAAUCACCUGAGGAGAAUCACCUUAAUCACCUGAGGAGAGUCACCUGAGGAGAGUCACCUGAGGAGAGUCACCUGAGGAGAGUCACCUGAGGAGUGUCACCUGAGGAGUGUCACCUGAGGAGAGUCACCUGAGGAGAGUCACCUGAGGAGAAUCACCUGAGGAGAAUCACCUGAGGAGAGUCACCUGAGGAGAAUCACCUUAAUCACCUGAGGAGAAUCACCUGAGGAGAGUCACCUGAGGAGAGUCACCUGAAUCACCUGAGGAGAGUCACCUGAAUCACCUGAGGAGAGUCACCUGAGGAGAGUCACCUGAAUUACCUGAGGAGAGUCACCUGAGGAGGUAUUUCUUCUCAGUGACCCUAAAGAUGAUUUCUGGAUUAAUUUUUCCUGGAAGGAAUGAAAUCGAGAAGUGGACGUGAACAUUUUUAAUGUCUUACUGUUCCUGCUGCUUAGUAUAAACACUUCAACACACACACACACACACACACACACACACACACACACACACACACACCUUUCCUCUUGAAGAGCAUUGCUGGAGACAAGGUGCUUCAUGGAAACUCACGAAUCUCUUCUGGCGUCGUUUUGCAGUUUCUGUCGACGCGUCAGUUACUCCUGGGAUUGGUAGAAACAAGUAGAUCGAAUAUGCAAUGAUUUAUAUUUUAAUUUAUUUUUGCUCAAGUGCUGUGUGUUGUAAAGGAUGCAAUAAAGUGUUUUAAA